GACGAACGCGGCGGCGUGCCUAAUACAUGCAAGUCGAGCGAAGUUUUUCUGGUGCUUGCACUAGAAAAACUUAGCGGCGAACGGGUGAGUAACACGUAAAGAACCUGCCUCAUAGACUGGGACAACUAUUGGAAACGAUAGCUAAUACCGGAUAACAGCAUUAACUGCAUGGUUGAUGUUUAAAAGUUGGUUUUGCUAACACUAUGAGAUGGCUUUGCGGUGCAUUAGCUAGUUGGUGGGGUAAAGGCCUACCAAGGCGACGAUGCACAGCCGACCUGAGAGGGUGAUCGGCCACACUGGGACUGAGACACGGCCCAGACUCCUACGGGAGGCAGCAGUAGGGAAUCUUCCGCAAUGGGCGAAAGCCUGACGGAGCAACGCCGCGUGAGUGAAGAAGGAUUUCGGUUCGUAAAGCUCUGUUGUUAGGGAAGAAUGAUUGUGUAGUAACUAUACACAGUAGAGACG
rnacentral:rRNA from 1 species